GACGUAGGGCGCGAGCGUUGUCCGGAUUUAUUGGGCGUAAAGAGCUCGUAGGCGGCUUGUCGCGUCGAAUGUGAAAACUCGGGGCUCAACUCCGAGCUUGCAGUGGGUACGGGCAGACUAGAGUGCAGUAGGGGAGACUGGAAUUCCUGGUGUAGCGGUGGAAUGCGCAGAUAUCAGGAGGAACACCGGUGGCGAAGGCGGGUCUCUGGGCUGUAACUGACGCUGAGGAGCGAAAGCGUGGGUAGCGAACAGG
rnacentral:rRNA from 1 species